CCACAUAUUAAACCAUCAUUCCAAAAGAUAAAAAAAUCAACUGUAUUUAAAUUAUCACGCUUUUGUAUCAUCAAAUGAAAUAUCUUUCAGUUCUAAGGACAGUUUUAAAAGAAGUCUUUAAUUGUUUAUUUGACCAAAAAUUCUUAGCACUCAUAUGUAAAUAUCUCAAAAAUGCUAUCUUUCAACAAAAAACUCAAAAUUAAUUAUGGAAUGGAAAACUCAUUGUCCCUUUUUGAAGUGUAAUAUUCAAUUAUUUAGAAACAAUCUACCAUUGUCAGAGAUAAUUGUUCUCUUAAGGCAACGGAACUUUGGACGAUGGACAAGUUAGAUUUUACUCUUUACUGCAUCUUCUUAUACUAAGACUUGUUUGUCAACACCUGGAAAUAAUGGUGUACCCUAAAUAAUUACCCAAGUACCUCUCACGUUUUUGUCUUUCCAACUUGGGUAUUAAGCAGAGGUUGGAGGAAUAUCAAGUAUAUCAUAACGAUAUUUAAUUCGACACUUGAUCUGUUAAUGACGUUGAAAGACCUCGUAAUAAACUUGAAAUAAAAUUCACAACAAAGUCCAACAUGAUAAGUUUUAUGUAUUAAAAAUAUUAAAUAAUGUUCAGAUAAGAACAUCGACAAAA